rnacentral:rRNA from 1 species
GAUGAACGCUGGCGGUAUGCUUUACACAUGCAAGUCGUACGAAAGUUUUUAACUUUAGUGGCGGACGGGUGAGUAACGACGUGAGAAUUUACCUUUAGGACGGGAAUAACAGUUGGAAACGACUGCUAAUGCCGCAUAUAAUUAGUAAUAAAUGAAAGAAGUAAUUUCGUCCUAAAGAAAAGCUUGCGUCUGAUUAGCUAGUUGGUAAGGGUAAUGGCCUACCAAGGCGACGAUCAGUAGCUGGUUUGAGAGGAUGACCAGUCAC